UCUCUUUUUCAUCUCUUAAGUGAGUGAAAGUAACUGACCAAAGAAAAGUAAGGGUUUUCUUAAUCAUUCAAGAUUGCACCAAAGAUUGACCAUUUCUCGGACAGAAACAACUGAAGCUGCGACGAAAUUAAAAUGCACAGUCAACAUGGUUCCUUCAACAUCUAGUUUGUACUAAAAAUGGAUUCAACUAAUGGCCAAUCUAAACGAGCAAACGAGCAAUUGUCAGGCAAAUCAUUUUCAUAGCAAAAUUGAAGCUCGAUGGGAAAAAUCAAAUGUUCAAUAUCAAAUCAUGAAUCGACUCUAAACCCUGGACUAACAUGGCAAAUUUUGCACAUUUACCAAUCCAUGGAAACGCUUUAUCGGCUGUCAACUUGAAUCGUCGUGAUUUGGCUGCAAAUUACUGUGCACAUUCCCCCUGGAAUGAAUGUAAACUGAGCAACAUUAAUUUUGAACAAAGGAGAAGAAGAAACAGUGUGAAAUGUUUAGAUCAUGAAUAAUGAUGAAUAGAAAGAUUAUAUGAAAAUUAAGGUGUAACAAGGCCAACUAUUUUGAUCCAUGAAAGCCCAGGCAAGAAACAAGAUAAAUACAUUUACAGAGGUAACAUUUACAUUCCACUGGAAUCAUUAUCAUCAUCAUCAUCAUCAUCAUCGUCACCAUGAUACUCAUUAUCAUCUCAAUCUUUUGUAAAAAAAAGAAAAGGUAAAAAAAAGUUGAAGAAGAAAUCAAAAUAAACUAUCAUCGACUUAUAAGUGAUCAUCUCUACACUGGAGAUGACACUACAUAAAAAACCAGGUAAACCGGUUCCUUUCAUCAUCAUCAUCAACAACAGCAUCACCUUUCAUCAUUCCUUCACUCAUGUUCUGGCGCCUUGUUCAUCAUUGAUCUUGUUAUCAGUUUGUUUCAUCUGAAUCCAGUGUGAGUUUCUCUUCCCUCCCUGAGAAUCUUUCAAAAUAAAAACAGAUUUACUGCCAACUUUAAUCUAUUUUAUGGUUCCUUUUGAUAAUCUUUUUCUUCUUCUUCUUGUUCCAAAAAAAAGGUGAACACAAAAUAUACAGAAAUCACACUUGUAAGGUGUGAGGCAGAUGAAAGAUGAUGAGAGGAUGAAGAGUGUGAUGAUCACGAUAGCAAUAAUAAUAAUAAUAAUAACCAAAGAGGCAAAAGUAAUUCAAUCUUGGCCUCUUCAUAUCAUCAUCAUACAUUUACUAAAUAGGUAAGCUUUUCCUUCAUUUUUGGCCCGAUUAAUGGACAAAGAUCAAUGGUUAACUUAUCAGUUGCUCACGCCUUUUGACCUUCAGGAUAAAUACCCAGAAAACUUGAGCGUUGAUGUUUAUCCUGUAACUUUCUUAUCUUGCAUCUUACACCUUGAUCCGUUUGAAGAGCAGCUAAAAGGUAGGUAAAAGAAGAGGUCAGAAAGUAACUAAAAGCAGAGAGUAAGUGAAGAAAGAAGAGAAAGCAAAAAAAGAUGAAACCAAAAAAAAAGAGGUUUGCCUUUAAAAACGGCAACAAAAGAGCGCACAAUUUUUGUGACUUUAAAAUGUUACCUAGUAAGUGUACAAGUUAACACAAGUCGGUAGGAACA